CAGGGUGGGGGGGUGCUUACACAUGCAGUCGAACGGUGAAGGAGAGCUUGCUCUUUGGAUCAGUGGCGAACGGGUGAGUAACACGUGAGCAAUCUGCCCCUGACUCUGGGAUAACAGUUGGAAACAGCUGCUAAUACCGGAUACGAGACGUGACCGCAUGGUCGACGUUUGGAAAGAAUUUCGGUCAGGGAUGAGCUCGCGGCCUAUCAGCUUGUUGGUGAGGUAAUGGCUCACCAAGGCGUCGACGGGUAGCCGGCCUGAGAGGGUGACCGGCCACACUGGGACUGAGACACGGCCCAGACUCCUACGGGAGGCAGCAGUGGGGAAUAUUGCACAAUGGGCGAAAGCCUGAUGCAGCAACGCCGCGUGAGGGACGACGGCCUUCGGGUUGUAAACCUCUUUUAGCAGGGAAGAAGCGAAAGUGACGGUACCUGCAGAAAAAGCGCCGGCUAACUACGUGCCAGCAGCCGCGGUAAUACGUAGGGCGCAAGCGUUAUCCGGAAUUAUUGGGCGUAAAGAGCUCGUAGGCGGUUUGUCGCGUCUGCUGUGAAAACUGGAGGCUCAACCUCCAGCCUGCAGUGGGUACGGGCAGACUAGAGUGCGGUAGGGGAGAUUGGAAUUCCUGGUGUAGCGGUGGAAUGCGCAGAUAUCAGGAGGAACACCGAUGGCGAAGGCAGAUCUCUGGGCCGUAACUGACGCUGAGGAGCGAAAGGGUGGGGAGCAAACAGGCUUAGAUACCCUGGUAGUCCACCCCGUAAACGUUGGGAACUAGUUGUGGGGUCCAUUCCACGGAUUCCGUGACGCAGCUAACGCAUUAAGUUCCCCGCCUGGGGAGUACGGCCGCAAGGCUAAAACUCAAAGGAAUUGACGGGGACCCGCACAAGCGGCGGAGCAUGCGGAUUAAUUCGAUGCAACGCGAAGAACCUUACCAAGGCUUGACAUAUACGAGAACGGGCUAGAAAUAGUCAACUCUUUGGACACUCGUAAACAGGUGGUGCAUGGUUGUCGUCAGCUCGUGUCGUGAGAUGUUGGGUUAAGUCCCGCAACGAGCGCAACCCUCGUUCUAUGUUGCCAGCACGUAAUGGUGGGAACUCAUGGGAUACUGCCGGGGUCAACUCGGAGGAAGGUGGGGAUGACGUCAAAUCAUCAUGCCCCUUAUGUCUUGGGCUUCACGCAUGCUACAAUGGCCGGUACAAAGGGCUGCAAUACCGUAAGGUGGAGCGAAUCCCAAAAAGCCGGUCCCAGUUCGGAUUGAGGUCUGCAACUCGACCUCAUGAAGUCGGAGUCGCUAGUAAUCGCAGAUCAGCAACGCUGCGGUGAAUACGUUCCCGGGUCUUGUACACACCGCCCGUCAAGUCAUGAAAGUCGGUAACACCUGAAGCCGGUGGCCCAACCCUUGGGAGGCCUCUGCAU
rnacentral:rRNA from 1 species